CAGAGAUGUUAUGUAAUGUUCUAAGAAAGCAGAGAUGCUAUGUAAUGUUCUAAGAAAGCAGAGAUGCUAUGUAAUGUUAUAUGAAAGCGUAUAGUAUAUUGACACACAAACAUUUCACUAGGUCAGUGACACAGUACAAAUGAUAUUACACCACAUUAUCUGAUGUUGUUUGAUGUUGUUUCUGUGUUUGCUUGGGACUCUGUCUUUCAAAUAUUUCUUUCUGUUGCUGCCUAUACAAAGUGCUUUGUCAAGGCUUCUCACACUAGCAAAUAUUUUAGUCGUUGAUUUAACGAUUCAUUUCAAAAUUAUUUUGUUUUAUUCUUCAAUGAUCUUAGAUUGUUGUUUUCAUUGCAAUAAAUAGUCACUACUUUUUUUUAAAUUUUCUUUUUUUUUGCUUUAAAAAUGUUUCUUGAAAUGAUUUUCUUAUAUAUUUUGACCAUUAAAACAACCAUAAGAAUAACGAA